GUGCUUGGUUCAGCAGCGCAGAUACUAAAAUUGGAACAAUACAGAGAUUAGCAUGGCGCCUGUGCAAGAAUGACACUGAAAUUUGUGAAGUGUUCCAAAUUUUU